UCGAGGGGGGCGGAGAGUGGCCCUCCGUGCGCCCCGGCGCGCGGCCGGCCC
rnacentral:rRNA from 1 species